rnacentral:rRNA from 1 species
AUGAACGCUGGCGGCGUGCCUAAUACAUGCAAGUCGAGCGAACGGACGAGAAGCUUGCUUCUCUGAUGUUAGCGGCGGACGGGUGAGUAACACGUGGAUAACCUACCUAUAAGACUGGGAUAACUUCGGGAAACCGGAGCUAAUACCGGAUGAUAUUUUGAACCGCAUGGUUCAAAAGUGAAAGACGGUCUUGCUGUCACUUAUAGAUGGAUCCGCGCUGCAUUAGCUAGUUGGUAAGGUAACGGCUUACCAAGGCAACGAGGCAUAGCCGACCUGAGAGGGUGAUCGGCCACACUGGAACUGAGACACGGUCCAGACUCCUACGGGAGGCAGCAGUAGGGAAUCUUCCGCAAUGGGCGAAAGCCUGACGGAGCAACGCCGCGUGAGUGAUGAAGGUCUUCGGAUCGUAAAACUCUGUUAUUAGGGAAGAACAUAUGUGUAAGUAACUGUGCACAUCUUGACGGUACCUAAUCAGAAAGCCACGGCUAACUACGUG